rnacentral:rRNA from 1 species
CCUACGGGAGGCAGCAGUGGGGAAUAUUGCACAAUGGGGGAAACCCUGAUGCAGCGACGCCGCGUGAGUGAAGAAGUAUUUCGGUAUGUAAAGCUCUAUCAGCAGGGAAGAUAAUGGCGGUACCUGACUAAGAAGCCCCGGCUAACUACGUGCCAGCAGCCGCGGGAAUACGUAGGGGGCAAGGGUUAUCCGGAUUUACUGGGUGUAAAGGGUGCGGAGGGGGCAGGGCAAGUCAGAUGUGAAAAGCCGGGGCUCAACCCCGGUA